rnacentral:rRNA from 1 species
GAUGAACGCUGGCGGCGUGCUUAACACAUGCAAGUCGAACGAAGCACUUAUCUUUGAUUCUUCGGAUGAAGAGGUUUGUGACUGAGUGGCGGACGGGUGAGUAACGCGUGGGUAACCUGCCUCAUACAGGGGGAUAACAGUUAGAAAUGACUGCUAAUACCGCAUAAGACCACAGAGCCGCAUGGCUCAGUGGGAAAAACUCCGGUGGUAUGAGAUGGACCCGCGUCUGAUUAGGUAGUUGGUGGGGUAACGGCCUACCAAGCCGACGAUCAAUAGCCGACCUGAGAGGGUGAACGGCCACAUUGGGACUGAGACACGGCCCAAACUCCUACGGGAGGCAGCAGUGGGGAAUAUUGCACAAUGGGGGAAACCCUGAUGCAGCGACGCCGCGUGAGCGAAGAAGUAUUUCGGUAUGUAAAGCUCUAUCAGCAGGGAAGAAAAUGACGGUACCUGACUAAGAAGCACCGGCUAAAUACGUGCCAGCAGCCGCCGUAA